rnacentral:rRNA from 1 species
AACGAACGCUGGCGGCAGGCCUAACACAUGCAAGUCGAACGCCCCGCAAGGGAGUGGCAGACGGGUGAGUAACACGUGGGAACGUACCCUUCGGUUCGGGAUAACUCAGGGAAACUUGAGCUAAUACCGGAUACGUCCGAGAGGAGAAAGAUUUAUCGCCGAGGGAUCGGCCCGCGUCUGAUUAGCUUGUUGGUGAGGUAACGGCUCACCAAGGCGACGAUCAGUAGCUGGUCUGAGAGGAUGAUCAGCCACAUUGGGACUGAGACACGGCCCAAACUCCUACGGGAGGCAGCAGUGGGGAAUAUUGGACAAUGGGCGCAAGCCUGAUCCAGCCAUGCCGCGUGAGUGAUGAAGGCCCUAGGGUUGUAAAGCUCUUUUACCCGGGAAGAUAAUGACUGUACCGGGAGAAUAAGCCCCGGCUAACUUCGUGCCAGCAGCAGCCGCGGUAA